rnacentral:rRNA from 1 species
AGAGUUUGAUCCUGGCUCAGGAUGAACGCUAGCGAUAGGCCUAACACAUGCAAGUCGAGGGGCAGCACAUGAAGUAGCAAUACGGAUGGUGGCGACCGGCGCACGGGUGAGUAACGCGUAUGCAAUCUACCUACAACAAGGGAAUAACCCGUUGAAAGACGGCCUAAUACCCUAUAAAACAGGGGCCCCGCAUGGGGAUAUUUGUUAAAGAUUUAUCGGUUGUAGAUGAGCAUGCGUUCCAUUAGCUUGUUGGUGAGGUAACGGCCCACCAAGGCAACGAUGGAUAGGGGAACUGAGAGGUUUAUCCCCCACACUGGUACUGAGACACGGACCAGACUCCUACGGGAGGCAGCAG